rnacentral:tRNA from 1 species
GUCGAAGUGGUGGAAUUGGUAGACACGCUAUCUUGAGGGGGUAGUGGGAUUUCCCGUGGGGGUUCGAGUCCCCCCUUCGACA